rnacentral:rRNA from 1 species
CCUACGGGUGGCAGCAGUGAGGAAUAUUGGUCAAUGGGCGCGAGCCUGAACCAGCCAAGUCGCGUGAGGGAGGAAGGUCCAGUGUAUUGUAAACCUCUUUUGUCAGGGAACAAAGACCGCCACGCGUGGCCUUCCGAGAGUACCCGAAGAAAAAGCAUCGGCUAACUCCGUGCCAGCAGCCGCGGUAAUACGGAGGAUGCGAGCGUUAUCCGGAUUUCUUGGGUUUAAAGGGUGCGCAGGCGGGAGAUCAAGUCAGCGGUAAAAUUGAGAGGCUCAACCUCGUCGAACCGUUGAAACUGGCUUUCUCGAGUGAGUGAGAAGUAUGCGGAAUGCGCGGUGUAGCGGUGAAAUGCAUAGAUAUCACGCAGAACUCAGAUUGCGAAGGCAGCAUACCGGCGCUCAACUGACGCUGAGGCACGAAAGUGUGGGUAUCGAACAGGAUUAGAUACCCCGGUAGUC